rnacentral:rRNA from 1 species
CCUAAAGGCGUAAUGAAAGUAAAGGUUGGCCUUGCGUUAACCGAGGGAGGAUGGGUUGUAUUAUUAUUAUGCAAUUCCGCACUCCCGGGGCGUCUCAUUCACAUUAUGCGAAGAGGCGCACCUAGAGCGUACACGUUGGGACCCGAAAGAUGGUGAACUAUGCCUGGUCAGGAUGAAGUCAGGGGAAACCCUGAUGGAGGUCCGUAGCGAUUCUGACGUGCAAAUCGAUCGUCGGAACUGGGUAUAGGGGCGAAAGACUAAUCGAACCAUCUAGUAGCUGGUUCCCUCCGAAGUUUCCCUCAGGAUAGCUGGCACUCGUGAGUUCAUUGAACGCAUGAGAGUCUCAUCUGGUAAAGCGAAUGAUUAGAGGCCUUGGGGCCGAAACGACCUCAACCUAUUCUCAAACUUUAAAUGGGUGAGAUCUCUGGCUUGCUUGAAAUAAAAUAUUAUGAAGCCACGAGAUAUUGAUAAUUGGAUCAGAGUGCCAAGUGG